UUGGGCGUAAAGCGUUCGUAGGCGGUUUGUUAAGUCUGGAGUUAAAGACUGGGGCUCAACCCCAGCCCGCUCUGGAUACUGGCUGACUAGAGUUACAUAGAGGUAAGUGGAAUUCUUAGUGGAGCGGUGGAAUGCGUAGAUAUUAGGAAGAACACCAAUGGCGAAGGCAGCUUACUGGAUGUACACUGACGCUCAGGGACGAAAGCGUGGGGAGCAAACAGGAUUAGAUACCCUGGUAGUCCACGCCGUAAACGAUGAUCAUUAGCCGCUAGAAUAUUUAGUGGCGCAGCUAACGCAUUAAAUGAUCCGCCUGAGUAGUAUGCUCGCAAGAGUGAAACUUAAAGGAAUUGACGGGGACCCGCACAAGCGGUGGAGCAUGUGGUUUAAUUUGAAGAUACGCGUAGAACCUUACCCACUCUUGACAUCUUCCGCAAUACUAUGGAGACAUAGUGGAGGUUAACGGAAUGACAGAUGGUGCAUGGUUGUCGUCAGCUCGUGCCGUGAGGUGUUAGGUUAAGUCCUGCAACGAGCGCAACCCCUGUCUUUAGUUACUAACGGAUAAUGCCGAGGACUCUAGAGAGACUGACUGGGUAACCAGUAGGAAGGUGGGGACGACGUCAAAUCAUCAUGCCUCUUACGAGUGGGGCAACACACGUGCUACAAUGGACGGUACAAAGAGAAGCAAUAUGGUGACAUGGAGCAAACCUCAAAAAACCGUUCUCAGUUCGGAUUGAAGUCUGAAACUCGACUUCAUGAAGUUGGAAUCGCUAGUAAUCGUAGAUCAGCUACGCUACGGUGAAUACGUUCUCGGGUCGUGUACACACCGCCCGUC
rnacentral:rRNA from 1 species